UGGGCAGAGCAGAGGCGAUGGUUUCUGUGUGAGGGAAUAGGGCAGGGCUGUGCUGGGCAGAGGCGAUGGUUUACAUGUGAGGGAAUAGGGCAGGGCUGUGCUGGGCAGAGCAGAGGCGAUGGUUUCUGUGUGAGGGAAUAGGGCAGUGCUGGGCUGAGCAGAGGCGAUGGUUUACAUGUGAGGGAAUAGGGCAGGGCUGAGUUGGGCAGAGGCGAUGGUUUCCUUGUGAGGGAAUAGGGCAGUGCUGUGCCGAUCAGGGGUGUCCAUGUGAGGGAAUAGGGCAGUGCUGGGCUGGGCAGAGGCGAUGGUUCCUGUGUGAGGGAAUGGGGCAGCGCUCUGCUGGUCAGAGGCGGGGACUUCCUUGUGAGGGGAACGGGACAGUGCUCUCCUUGUCAGAGGUGAUGGUUUCCUUGUGAGGGGAAAGGGACACUGCUCCGUUGGUCAGAGGCGAUGAUUUCGGUGUGAGGGGAAAGGGACACUGCCCUGCUGGUCAGCGGGGAUUUCCGUGUGAGGGAGCGUGAGGGACAGUGCUCUGCUGGUCAGAGGCGAUGGUUUCAGUGUGAGGGGAAAGGGGCCCUGCUCUGCUUGUCACAGGCGGUGGAGGUUUCCGUGUGAGGGAGGACGGGCCUGCGGGUCAUGUUUGUUGCAGAGCCCAGCGCAGUCUGAGCUUUUGAACUCUAGGAAAAAUGUGCAGGCUCAAUAGAUUUAUGAGUGUUAACUUCUUCGUCCAGGGGUGGGCUUAAAGCUAAUUGUAAUGGUCUUGCGGUGCAGGAGGAUCCAUGUUCAGGUAGGAAUGUGCAGAAGGCUGUACCUUCCUGUGCCUCGGCCACUGGGGAAAAGGAGUUUGGGAUUAAAGGAAUACGUGUGCUCCAGAAACUCCAGAGAGACCCCAGAGGGGUAUGGAGCAGAGGGUUCUCUCCCUUUAUUCCAGUAAAAUUGAUUCUUGCAUGACUCUGCUGUCUUCUUCAGGGACAGUGGCUUUUUGCAGUGUGAUUUCCCACACGCUUAGGAUUGUGAGAAAUGGAGUUCGGGAUAAAGAAUUUUUGUAAAGUUCAACGUGGGAUAAAAUAAGAGACAAAAAUCCAGUGCUGGGGUGCUCCUGGCCACCAGCCAAAGAACACACUGCUAUAUACAAACUGUUAUCUUUAUAUGGUUACAUUACCUCCAUAGUUAUGUGUUUCAUACAUUAUUCAAACAUUCUCGCAAAAUUUCUGAUGCUUUGGGAACUCCUUUGUUUGGCUUCUUCACACACCGGCUUUUCUGCAGGAGAUCCUGUUCAUAAGAUCAAUAUAUUUUAUUUCUUCUUGUGUCUCCAUCCUGCUGUUUCACAUCCUCUGAUAAAGAUUUAGUUUGUCCUUCUCAAACUUAAGAUGAUAUUCUUUAAUUGUCCUCUAUGUUCUGGUUUGUGUCAUGGUUAUCUUAGUACUAUAAGCAAUACUUAAGCUGAUUAUAUCAUAUUAACAAGCAGGUAAAAAGAGUUCUAAUUUGUACUGUAUCUAAAUACUUAUAAUCAAUAUCAAUGUGCAAAAGCUGAUACCUAAAUGCAAAAGCCAAUGUUAUCUGGUCAUUUUUAACAGGAUCUGCUGCUUCCUGAAGGACACACAGAGCAGACAAUUAAAUGUCAGGGGGACAAACAGCACCUCCCAGGCUCCAUCAGGUGAUCAAUAAAUCCCAGUUCAGCUGCUCGCAUGGGACAUCUCUCCCCAGGGAAGGGCUCACAGCCCCAAGCCUGGCAGAGUUCAGGAUUUCCUGUGCCAGGCUGAGAGUUGGGAUGUGAUGAACCAUAUUUGUGGCAUAAAGUCAAACAAAGUAGAACACUAAGAGUUUUACGUCAACAAGAGGAGGAGCUUCUCAGCAUGGAGGGUGGCAGAGCACUGGAGCCAGGGAGGAGUCUGCCUCUCUGGACACAUUCCAAUCCCACCUGGAUGUGUCCCUGUGCCAUCUGCUGCAGGUGGCCCUGUGUUGGCAGGGCUGUUGGACUGGUAAUGUCCUGGGGUCCCUACCAGCCUUGUGAUCUUUCUAGAACCCUUCUGACACAGAACACUCUGGGGCUCUCAGAGUAGCCAUACCAGCCACGUGGCACACAUCACUGCUUGCACUCUCAAAAAGCAUGGAAUGCUUUGGUUCUUCAGUUUGCAACCUACAUAGUCUGCAUGAUACUGCAAACAAUUCCAAAUCUUGUGGUGGGAGCCUGACACAGGAGGAAUUGAGUCUAAAAAUGAGCCCAUUUUGUCUGAGCUAUUGGGACAGCUUGCUGCUUUAUGUCAGUCCCACUCCUGCUAACGUCACUGAUUCCACUGUAAGAUGGGCCAAGCCAUAAUAUUUUCUUCACCUGUGAAAUUUAUUUCAUUUGUGGCAUAAGCCGCUGUGUCUUCCAAUUCAAAGAAAAAAUUAUUCCCAUGUUGUUGCCUCCUUUCAUUGUGAUCUGAAAAAAAUUGAGAACAUUAAGAUUAUCAUAAAUACAAAACAUAAUUAAAAGAUUAAUCCAUCUAAGCCUGAAGAACAGUAUUUUAUUUCUGGUUUCUAGAAAUGUAUGCAACUUGGUUCUAAUUUACAUCCAGCAUUAGAUUUAGAACUAGCUGAAGCUAGAAUUAUGAGCUAACACAAGCCAAUAGUGUCUACAAUAUUUCAUUUAAAAAAUCCUAACUAACCACAGAAAUAUCAGGCUCAAUAUAAUUCGAGCUUCUUGACUUUUUUUCCACCUCCUUUGCUAUACCUCAAAAAUUAAGAUUCUUACUCUAGUUCUUCUGAACAUUGCUUGCUGUAUGAGUAAUUGAAUAAAUGACAAGUGGGCAGUCCCAGAGCUCACUGAGCUUUUCUAACAUUGUGUUUCACCAUGUCACGCAUGCAUCUGCCACAAUUCAAAUAAGCCCAGUUUAAUACAUUUUCCUGUUCUUCCCUCCCACACAAAAACCAAGCUAUGCAUUUCUGCCAAGUGAGAAAGUCAAGUAUGAACCUACAAAAACACAGCCAAAGAGCUGUGGAACACAAAGCAAAGUCUCCAGAUCCUUCCUCCUCUGUCACAAACCAGCUGUAGAGUUGUAACUCCUACUCACCUGUGUAUUUCUCUUGCAUUUGAACAAUACAGGCAAGAAUAGACUCAUUUCAUCUUCUUCAUCUCCGCAGCUCCAAAUUUCUAUAUUUGUGAAAAAAACAGCACUUUCAGGCUUUAGCCCUCUGACAAAGAUUGUUGAAAUUAGGAAUGUUUACCCUGGGGAAAAAAAAAAAAAGAAAAAAAGAGCUCAGAGAAACUUAUCCUUCUUUGCUGCUACAUGAGAAGGGGUUGCAGCUGGGGGGGAGGGCACAUAUCUUAAAAAAAAAAUCAGAAAAGAGAAGGCAGACUCAAAAUGGGCCAAAGAACGUUUAGAUUGGAUAUUAGAAAUAAUUUCCCCACUGGAACAUGAUGCCCAGAAGAGCCAUCUUCCCUAAAAAGAUAUGAAAAGUGUAUAGACACAGAACUUUAAGACAUAGUUUAAUAAUGGACUUAAUGAUCUUAAGGGUCUUUUCCAAAAUAAAUCAUUCUGUGGAGCUAAAUAAAAUUUCAAAUCUCUUAAAAAAAGUUCUAACAAAGGCAACAGGAAAUCACUUCUGCUCUUAAAGAGGCUGUCUCUAACAUAGCUUUUAAAAAGGAGGGUAACCUGUUCAAACCAUUACACUUUUCCUCAAGCUGCCUUAUUCUCCAGUGGAGGGUUUUAUAGGCAAAAAAACCUCACUUAAUUGGUUAAGUCAGCUGGAGACAUUCUGGCUAAUGAGGGGAGCCACCUGAAGAACAUUAUGGAUAAAUCCAUAUCUGAGAUUAAGGAAGUGUGCUCUUGGGGGAGAGGGCUUAAAUUCCUGUUGGAAAUGGUGUAGAAAAAAUGGUUUUUAUUAGGUUCUUGUAGGUGGGAAUGAGUAUUCUUUCAGAUGUAAUGAAAUCAUCGAAAAAAUGGUGUUGGAUCUGGACAAGCUUCACUUGUGUGACGAGGGCAUUCUGGGCUUGGAUUCACUGCAACUGGUAGCGUUUGUCAUCUUCCAUUGAAUUUCCCAGCCAGAGAAUAGGCUCAUUCAGAGAGUGUCAAGCAACCAAUGGAGUUCUUGUAGGUGAAAAUAAGUAUUCUGUCAACUGUAUUGAAAUCAUUGAAAAAAUGGUGUUUGGUCUAGACAAGCUUCACUUGUGUGACGAGGGCAUUCUGGGCUUGGAUUCACUGCAACUGUGGUAGCAUUUGUCAUUUUCCAUUUAAUUUCUCAGCCACAGAAUACUCUUAUUCAGAGAGUGCCAAGCAACAAAUGGGUAAGUCCAGUAUGAAGUUAUUUUGCAUUAUGUCUGUCAUUGUUUGCAACCAUGUGGUUUUGUUCCUUAUCCCCAGGAGAAAUGCAAAGUUUGUAAAUGCACAAUGAGCCCUGUGAGAUCAGGAAAAUCUUGAUAUGGAAAAGGUUGUGUCAUUGUCAUUGUAGGCUGAAUCAGCAAUUUAAUUCUGUGCUGGACACACAGAAAUGGUUUUUAUUAGGUUCUUGUAGGUGGGAAUGAGUAUUCUUUCAGCUGUAAUGAAAUCAUCGAAAAAAUGGUGUUGGAUCUGGACAAGCUUCACUUGUGUGACGAGGGCAUUCUGGGCUUGGAUUCACUGCAACUGGUAGCGUUUGUCAUCUUCCAUUGAAUUUCCCAGCCACAGAAUAGGCUCAUUGAAAGAGUGUCAAGCAACCAAUGGAGUUCUUGUAGGUGAAAAUAAGUAUUCUGUCAACUGUAUUGAAAUCAUUGAAAAAAUGGUGUUUGGUCUAGACAAGCUUCACUUGUGUGACGAGGGCAUUCUGGGCUUGGAUUCACUGCAACUGUGGUAGCAUUUGUCAUUUUCCAUUUAAUUUCUCAGCCACAGAAUACUCUUAUUCAGAGAGUGCCAAGCAACAAAUGGUUUCUCAGCCACAGAUACUGUUAUUCAGAGAGUGCCAAGCAACAAAUGGGUAAGUCCAGUCUGAAGUUAUUUUUUUCUGUGUCUGUCAUUGUUUGCAACCAUGUGGUUUUGUUCCUUAUCCCCCAGGAGAAAUGCAAAGCGUGUAAAUGCACAAUGAGCCCUGUGAGAUCAGGAAAAUCUUGACAUGGAAAAGGUUGUGUCAUUGCCAUUCUAGGCUGAAUCAGCAAUUUAAUUCUGUGCUGGACACACAGCAGGAUCGAAGGACAGAAAGGAAAGUGGAGACCUUCUGGAUAAAGAGUUGAAUCUCAUAUUUUGAAAAUGUUCUGUUUGUCAUCUAAUACUGUUGACAUCCCACUUUGUCAAUUCAUUGUGAAAGGAUUUUGAAAGCAAUACCGGCAGUAUCAAGUGGAGAGAAGAACCAGUCCAGAAAUGGUGGUAAUGUGAUCUACUGGGGAGCACAUCUGCAACAGUGAAGAGAUUGGAAUCUAGGAGAUCCUCGUGGUGAAGCCAAUGAGGCACAGCUGUAACCAGUCAAGGGGUUUGAUUAGAGACAGAAACGGCUGCUGGUGGACCUGGUGCCUUCACAAGGACAGAAAGUUCUAGAGCUCCUUCGUUUUGCCACCUUCGCUCUUGAUGGUAGGAGAACCUGAUGGAGUGAGUGUGAGGUAAUGGUACCUGAGCUUUCACAGUCUGUGGGUGAGUAAAAUUUGGUUUGACUUUUGUUGUUAUAUUGGACAAGAUAUUGUAGCUGAUCUGUCAAACAUAGUAAAAUUGAAAUAAGGGCCUGCAAAUGAUUCUGUAGGAAGAAGUGGUUAAUGAAACAGCAAAAAAAGUGUGAGCUGGCUACUGAAGAUUGAUAACACAGAUAUUUUUGUCUUUGUUUUUGCAGUAGUAAUUCCAUGUGUUAUACUUUAAUGUUUUUCAGUUUAGAUUGCUAUAUGAGUAUGAAGUUUGUCUUGCUCUCUCUUUGUUGGGCAGCUUUAUGGCCAUGAUACUGAGUAAAUGUUAAGCUUAUAUAUGCUGAUUUGUACUGGGGAUUAUUUGUGGGUUUUUUUCCUGCUUGAGGAAGCAUUAGCAAACAUGUUUGUUUGCUAAUGCUUCCUCAACCAUUAGCAAACAAACAUGUGCUGCAUUGUGCAUAAAUAUUCCAGGUGGGAGCAGGCCUUUGAUAUUGCCUGUAUUUCUGUUAUAAAGCAGAUAUAAGUGAUACAAUUCUGCUUGCUCUCUCAAUGCUCCUUUUUUCUGUGGGUUACUGUUGGGAAGGUGUUUGGCUGAGGAAUUCUGGAUGUGUUUUGUGAGAGUGUGGGAAGUAAAACAGCAACUGGUGGAAAAAAGCUCCAGGACUCAUUUUCACUUGUAAUAAUAGUUUCUCUUUAUGAUAUCUUUGUGUUUAUUCUGUUUGUUUUCUCACUUGAAAUGGUAGUUUUUGUUUACUUAAAUGGGUUCACAUUUAUGACCAAAGUUUUUUUCUUCUUAUGGUUCAGAUCUUAUUAGCUUACAUAAAAAUAUUUCUUACUGUAAAACCUUAAAAUACUUAGUUUACAUAGGACUAAACAGUCUCAUUUGAAGGAGCCUCCUUUCAAAUUGAAGUCCUCCUACUCCUAGAAAUGCCGAAAGUCCUCUGAACCCCAUGUUUGUACAGGGAAUUAUUUAAGAAAUAUGCUUAAUGAAAUUAAAAAUAUAAGAACAUAUCUUUGAUAAUUCAUAUUUUAAAAUAUAUAAAGAUUAAAUAAUUGCUUAAAAUAAUGUAAUAAUUUAAAUACAUUUUGAAAGCUUUACUUACAAACUCUUGUAAGAAUUUGCUGAUGUGCAAAAUUUCCAUGCCAAUUCUGAAAGCUGUCGGAGACAAGGGAGUUCUCUUAUGCCUUUUCCCUUUCCUCCUAAUGAGUAGAAACAUGGCUAUUAAUUUGCUAUGAGUGUGGUAACUCCUCCCAGCAGUGCUAAAGGAUCACAAGGGUGACUCAAAAUGCAAUUUUUAACUGUGGCCUGUCUUGUGGCUGUGAACAUGGUGUUCUUUCAGAAGAUGAGCUGUUUGGUGAUUGCAACUCGAUGCCUGCUAGCUGGAUUUUUGUUUAUUUGGCUGGCUGGAAAAGGCUACUGUAUUAACAGCAACUAAUACAGUAGGGUUUGCACAUAAAAUAGGCAGAGGAGAAUGCAAAACUGAAGUGAAUGAGUUGCCUCUCCUGUUCCAUUUUUGGGGGAGUGGGUGACUCAUUUCUUGAGGGUUUUAUUUCUAAGAGUUGGAUUUGACUUUGUUGAUAUUCCUUUCAGAAUCUAGAUUUUCUAUUUUGGCUUGUAUUUUCCAUGUUGACUUGAAUUAUCAUAGUGUCAGAAAGUCAAUAUGCCUUUGUAAGUAAGUAGUUGUUUUGUACUUUGUAAAUAAGAAGUUUGCCAAAGUAUUUUUUUGUGCCUGAGUCCAGAGAAGAGAAAUGGAAGAAAACGAGUGUAAAUACUGUUGCAAUUUGUCUACUUAAAAACUCUUUUAAUAUAUUUUUUUACUGCACUGAUUGCUGAAUUUAAUCAGAGUCCAAAUACAUUUCAAACCUCUCCAGUGUUAGGAAGCUUGGAGAUGGCAAGUUCAACAUUACCUCAUGUUGUUGGCAUGGUCUCUUUCCAGCAAGGCUGAAUGGCACAUGAGAAUCCACUUUGUUUUUCCAGGAGAACCAGUGUUUUAUGGUAUUGUGGAAAA